CCUCCCCUUCUUCUCAACCCCCUCUCUCUCUCCCCUCCAUCUUUUCAUUAGAACCUUUCUAUCUUCUCUUCCCACACCCAUCUGAGAUACGUAAACACGCAUGCAGCGCCGGCCGCCUCUCCCCUCACCGCCACGGCCGCCCAGCUGCCGCGCUUGGUGCGAGAGAAAGCGGUGGAACCACGCUCCCCUGCUGCCCCUCCCCGCGGAAGUUGGAAGUAGCUCAGGUUUGAAGCUUGUCCGUAAGGCUGCAGCUCCCAGAGAGGAAAGAUGGUGCUCGGCGCCCCUCCCUCCCAGCCCCCGAAGGCAGAGAAGCUGUUGUGUCCUCCUAAGGAUGCUUCUGAGAAGUCUCGCUAUGGAAAUAGCCCGUGGCCAUGGAUUCUGGGGCUUUCUCCAAGGCCAUUGCCAAUGUUCUGAGGACCAUGAGUGCUUCUCCCCGUGGAAAUUCUUCAGCUCUGUGUGUCUACUUGAAAUGUGCUUGAUGUCAGCGUCCUCCCUUAUUUAGAAAUCUCUAUUAGUAGAUGUGAUCCAUGCACACUGCUAUUUUCCAUCACACUUCAUUUCCAUUUAGUUUUUUCCCCCUUGUUUUUGAAGCGUUAAAUAGGUCUCUCUCUCUUUAAAUUUGAAUUUAGUAUUGUUUUUCUUAUAUUUGAAAAGAAUGGCAAGGUAGGUUCUUGGCGCAGUAAUUUCCCAAUGGAAAAAGAUAAUGAGAAGUUACCUUAUCCUCAAGAGUCACCAAGUUGGUCUUCUAGAUGGUAGAACUUCAGAUUAGAAAAAAGUCUAGUCUUAGUUUUUGGAACCCAUAUGGAAACAGUUACAUUAAUUACUUGUGCCUUUAAAAAAUCUUAAUGCCAUAUUGUUAAUAUGGAGUCAGAAUUCCUAAUGGACAUAAAAAUUAGUAUUGUUUUUUGUUAUUGGGGUAUAAUUUUUUAACUGUCCAGUAAAUUUUGGAUAUUCUGGAUUUAGACAACUUCCUUUUUGCCCUACUGUGUGGUUAGGUUUUCAUUAUUUACUUUGGAAAAUAAUAGGAUUUGGUUUUUUCCCGUAUAGAAAGCUUUUCCAUUUAUUUGAUUAUAGAAUCUUGGCUGUAGCCUUACACUGACUUUCCAUAAGCAUCACCAGUUCCAUUUGCACUACUGGAAUUGUUUGAGCCUUCUAUUGGGAAAGUACAAAUAAAGUUCAUUUCUGUUUGAAUGGCAAAGCCAAGAAAAUACUUGGUGUGAGAAACCGUGUUGACAAAGAUGAAGUUAACCUUUGGAAGUUAGCAUGAGGAAUGUUUCUAGAAAUAUCUUUUGAGUUAAUGUAGUUUAGGGUUCAGAAAGAUACUUUUAAAGGUCAAGACUGUCAGUUUUUUUGGUGUAUUUAGUUAAGAUUUGAGAUGUAUGAUUAUAGUCUAUAUGAGAAAAGUUCCCAGUGUAAUCAGUUGGUAGAGAAUAGGUUGGAAGUACAUUCAAAUGGGCUCUGGUUAUGAGGUAGGAGGUGGAACUAUUUUUUUCUUCACAGCUUGAUAAAAGUCGGUUGGAGUCUUUUUUUUUUUUUUAAGGUUUAAGUGCCUAAGAAUAUGGACAAACCACGAUAUAUAUAUUUUUUUAACUGUUAGGACCAGAAAAUUGGCCUAGAAACUUAAAAUUUUGUUUGAAAUGUGGGAAGGCAGUAGGAACUGGAAAGGCACUGUGUUUGUGUGUUUUUUAAAUAAAACCCAGAGAUUGUUGUAAAAUAGACUUCAGUUGAACACACUAAAAGUGGAAAUAAUUGAGGGAUUAGGAAAUACAAACCUUGCUGUUGUCCCCCAUAGUCUUGUACCUCUUGGGUAAAACUUGUAUUUUCCAUUUUUACUUGAGAGACAAAAGUUGUGAGGAAAAUAUAUCGCAGUGGGCUUUUUCAUGAUUAGUGAAAAUGAGCAAUUUUUAACUUGUGUAAUUAUUUAUACCCUGAACACCAGCUGUUCAAAUAGUAAAAUAGCUAAAAUAGCAAUUUAAAUGGAACUUUAAAAAAUUAAAUAAGCAGCUAUUUUACCACCGUGAAUUUUAUCUUGUUCAAGCUGAGAGAAGUUAGUAGUUGGUGAUAGAAUUCAAUACAUAAAUUCAACUUUAUUUAAAAAAAAAUUCAUCAUAAACAGUACAGGUGCUGCUAGUUUUACUCUUCAUACUCUUCAUCGCAACGCCAUCUCUUGGAAGGCUCUAAAGAAAUACUUAACAUGUUUUCGUCCUUGGGGAAUUUUGACAUUCAGAGAUUAUGUUCACUAUCAACAUUUGAUUGGUACUGACAGAUUAAGUGCCUCUUUGACUGGAAAGGUAUACAUUUUACUGUUUUUGAUGUAUGUUAUGUUAUUUAUUGGCUGAGGCAUGAUUCUUAUAUUUAACCAAAUUGUAGAAUUGCAUUUUGUUGGUAGAUGUUUCACUAUCGCCGCCUUUAAAUCUAGUAAGUCAUAAAAAGUAAAUUAAAAUUGGUAAUUGCAUUUGA